CCGUGACCUCAGAGUGACAUCGUGACGUGAUCUACAUAUCUAGAAAUUCUCUGAAGCUACACCAUGAAGCUGUUUGUCUGCAUGAUGCUGGCGACGAUGAUUGUCAUGGCAACGCUGAUCGACGACUCCGAGGGAUGGAGACGUCGGCGCAGGCGCAGGGGGUCGAGCGGGUCGAGCGGUGGAUGUCUGACCUUGGAUGCAGAUGCUGACUCAGAGUUGAGGGAGGUUGUGGAAGAGGCGAGGUCGCUCCUGGAGGAACUUGAUGAGGCCAGUGAACACUUGGAUACUAAACAAGUGGAGAACACACUCGCGGAUCAGGAAGAAGGUCGAACGAGAAGGAGUCUCCAGUAAGAAAUUGUGUAAAGUUGAAACUGAUUUAGAACCACAGGACGAUUGGUCGGCAAUUUAUUUUCUCGGAUGGAAUAUCUUUUGUCUCGUAUUACUCAUGUAACAUGAAAUGUUAUUUAAAUCAAAGAGAACGCCACUUGAAUGGUAAAGCAGCUUUGUGUCUAAUACUGGAUAUGAUCUGUUGACUUACAACUCACUCGGAACAUGCGAAGUUAAGAGAGAGACUCUCGAUCGAGGAAUUUAGUCAAGUUGAAACUGGUUUAGAAGUUCAUUAGACGAUUGAAUUUUUUCUGGAUUGAA